CGCAAGCCUGACGGAGCAACGCCGCGUGUGGGAAGAAGGCUCUUGGGCUGUCAACCACUUUUCUCAGGGAAGAAGCCCUGACGGUACCUGAGGAAUCAGCCUCGGCUAACUCCGUGCCAGCAGCCGCGGUAAUACGGAGGAGGCAAGCGUUAUCCGGAAUUAUUGGGCGUAAAGCGUCCGCAGGGGGCACAUCAAGUCUGCUGUUAAAGGCUGGAGCUUAACUCCGGUAGAGCAGUGGAAACUGGUGUGCUAGAGGGCGACAGGGGUAGAGGGAAUUCCCAGUGUAGCGGUGACAUGCGUAGAGAUUGGGAAGAACACCGGUGGCGAAAGCGCUCUACUGGGUCGCACCUGACCCUCAGGGACGAAAGCUAAGGUAGCG
rnacentral:rRNA from 1 species